rnacentral:rRNA from 1 species
CCUACGGGAGGCAGCAGUGAGGAAUAUUGGUCAAUGGACGCAAGUCUGAACCAGCCAUGCCGCGUGCUGGAAGACGGCUCUAUGAGUUGUAAACUUCUUUUGUACGAGGGUAAACGCAGAUACGCGUAUCUGUCUGAAAGUAUCGUACGAAUAAGGAUCGGCUAACUCCGUGCCAGCAGCCGCGGGAAUACGGAGGAUUCAAGCGUUAUCCGGAUUUAUUGGGUUUAAAGGGUGCGUAGGUGGUCGGUUAAGUUAGUGGUGAAAUCCCGAGGCUCAACUUCGGAAUUGCCUUUGAUACUGGUCGGCGAGAGAGUAGUGGCGGUAGGCGGAAUGUAUGGUGUAGCGGUGAAAUGCUUAGAGAUCAUACAGAACACCGAUUGCGAAGGCAGCUUACCAAGCUACUUCUGACGUUGAGGCACGAAAGCGUGGGGAGCAAACAGGAUUAGAUACCCUUGUAGUC